rnacentral:misc_RNA from 1 species
CAACCCCUCAGGCCCCCCUCCCGGGGGCGGGCCUGGUGUUGGGCGUCGGCCGCCUCCCCGCGGCCGUGCCCCAAAUGCAGUGGCGGCCUCGCCGCGACCCCUUGCGUAGUACUGUACCUCGCACCGGAGCGCGACGCGGCCACGCCGUGAAACCCCCCAUUUUUCU